rnacentral:piRNA from 1 species
UAGAACUGUUUGGGAAGUAUUGGGCAGU